rnacentral:rRNA from 1 species
UACAGAGACUGCAAGCGUUAUUCGGAUUCACUGGGCGUAAAGGGUGCGCAGGCGGCCAAGUGUGCGAGGCGUGAAAGCCUGGAGCUUAACUCCAGAAUUGCACCUCAAACUACAUGGCUAGAGCAUUGGAGAGGGUAGCGGAAUUCACGGUGUAGCAGUGAAAUGCGUAGAUAUCGUGAGGAACACCAGAGGCGAAGGCGGCUACCUGGACAAUUGCUGACGCUCAGGCACGAAAGCGUGGGGAGCAAAAGGG